UAAGCUUUAGUUUAUUAAGAAUCUUUGACUGUUAAUCAAAUGGAAACGUGAAGUUAAGCUUAG
rnacentral:tRNA from 1 species